CACUUGUUCCUUAAUUAGGGACUAG
rnacentral:piRNA from 2 species